CGCUUACAAGGAUUUAAAUUUGAGAGUCUGGGUAGAUGCUUUAAUGUUUUUCUUGAAAGCUGGACAACCUUUAAGAUAUCCCAAGCUGAAUGUCAGCCGUCAGCCAUCAGAUUCUUCUUGUAUUUCACAGUAAUUAUAAUGCUCUAUGAACUCUAAAGCAUUUGGGUAAUAUCUGAACAUCUCAUAUAUUCAAAUGCAUUUCAGUAAAGUACAUCGGGGUCUUUCUUAAAAGAUAUAGCCUGGCUGAGUCUGAUUUCAGACAGUGCACAAAAUGAAGGGCUCAUAGAGAAGGUGGGGCAGAUCAGUGGUAGAAGAAGAAAGGGAAAAAAUCAAAUGCAAAGGAUCCAUCAGUAAUAAAAUUCUUUCUGACUGCACAAGAGUUAAUUCGUCUGCUACUGUAGGUUGCUGCCUUUGCCUCAUGAUUAACACCUUCUAGUACCUUGUCCCCACUGAGACAUCAAUGGGACUUUAGCAUGACAGAUGCCCUCGUGGUAAACACACUCAAGACUGACUUGAACUAAAAGUUUGGGCUGCAAAGUUGUAAAGCGUAGGCAGCUGUGGAUAAGAAUGGCAGGA
rnacentral:lncRNA from 1 species